AUAAUUAACCUCUUCUCUUACUUACCACUAAUCAAUUCCCAAACAUGCAAUAUUUCUGCUCCAAAACAUAAUUGCAUUUGUAAAACAUGAUUAGCAUUCAAGGUGAAAAAUUGCCAGGACGUUUUUUGUCUUCUAUUUUGUCAGUAUGGUGCACAAGAGUGGUAGACCUAAAAUUCCCAAAAUUAGACAGGGAAAUGAAAUGUUUGCUGCAUGCCGGCUAGAACAGUAGUGGAAAGAGAUGAGUCUGUAGACUGCCUGCCCGCCCGCCUGCCUGAUAUGAUGGUGAGAGAGAUGGGUGGUAGCACCGUUGAAGUCAUUUUUGUAGUGGAGUCAUAUUUGGGUGGUAUGUUCAGCAAGCAAUAAACUGACACGCGGCCUGUAGUGUUCUGCACGCCGAAAUCAGAAGCACACACUGUUUCUGGUAAGAGUUGGCCCAUGAAGCGAGAAACGAUUUUAUUCAUGGUUGAUAGCCACUUUGAGUAACUGUCUGAGACAUCUUCACUGCGGAGGCCUAACCCUAAUGAGCUAUUGCAAUAUAUUAUGCAGUACCCUAAUUGUUCAUUACUAAAUUCUAACUGCUUGAAUUCUGAUUUUCAUAUACAUCUUAAUAUUUCAGUGGAGUUUCCUACAUUGCAGGGUGAUAUGGAUGAAGGAAAAGAGGCCAGCAGUGCUGGGCUAAACAAUUCAGGGAGGUAUUGGAUUGGCCUCUGUAGAAACUAUGGUAAAGGCACCUAAUCUUGGGCCCCUAGAAGAAGGAAACUCAACAUGCAUGGUUCUCAUUAGUACUGACCGUUGCGGUGCGUAGAAGAAAGGUGCUACUUUCACUUAGUUCUCUCAGUUCUAAGUUGGGACUGCAAAAAUUUGAGGAUUUCCCCACAUAGACCUGAAGUUUCUGCUUCUAGCAUUUCUCUUUUGUAAGCAGCAUGGCAAACCCGGUUUCAAAGUAAAGACCUGAGGAAGAAUGUGGAUUUAUCACUGUGAUUUCAAGUCCUUCAGAGCUGGAGCUGUUAAGACUUGAGACAGAUAUAUACAGGUAACAGGGGCCUACAAGAUCCAAUUCAUAAGAAACUGAGGCACAUCAAUCAAACGCCAACCCACCUGCUAUUGGCACUAAAUGAGGAAGGAAAAAAACAUUGUCCCUGAAGGCUCGAGACACACAAACAGGAAACUGAGUUUGGGAAAGGUGGUUGUCUCCUUGACGCACACCAUGGUGCCCUUGUCUACUCUCUGUCUUCUUCCUUGCCAGACACCUUAUUUACUGGUAGUAGGUUCUCUCAUAGCAUUUUUCGGUGGAGUUGUACUGGCAUCUUUGACUGAAGUUUCUUUCAACUGGGAGAAAACAUGACAAGAAAGGGGAAGAACUAACCUACAUGGAGCUUGGUCAAGGUCGUCGCUCAUGUUUGAUGGCAUUGUUUCUGGUUCCACCGAUGUUGUCGAUGCCUGUUACCUAUGGCCCCUUUGCUGCUUUCCUCGGUCGGGCGUGGUCCAUCAGCCAUUGCAUGCAGACAAUAGAAUUUAGGCCAGCAAGUCGCUUAUCUACGCUACAGAUCGACCCAUAGACAGGGAAAGGAAGCGAUGGUUGGUGGGGAGAGGAGCCGGGGGACGUGUUGUGAUGGGACAAGAGGCGCAGUGGCAGGGAGAGAAGGUGAAGACUACGCCAUGUGAGUUGCAGAUGUUGUGCCUUAUGCGGCGGGGAUAAGGGAUGUGUGAUGUGCUUGUGUGGUGAGAGGCGAGGAGUGGCUUUUCCUUUUUGCGGGAGGCUGUUCAUUUUUGUCUAUUCUAUUUUUAUAUUCAAGAUACAUACAAUUAUUUAUCAUCAUUAUAAUCGAGAUAAUAAAUAUUUAUUUAUUCCA